UGGCAUGAAGGAAAGUACGCGUUGUACAUUUCAUCACCUGGUUGGUGGCAUGAAGAUGAGUUCCUUCUUUACCUGAUUGGUGAUAAGGGUGGCAAGUUUCCAAAUAAUAUUAGAGUACGGGUUGUACAUUUCAUCACCUAGUUGGUGGUACGAAGGUGAGUUCCUUCAUCACCUAGUUGGUGAGAAUAAGGGCAAGGUGUUGAGGCACAUUGUGGCAAAUGUCGAAUGACACAAAGUGUGUUGAACCCUUUCGAAGCACAGUUGGCUUAUGUAUGGAUGUGUUGGAAUGUAUGAUGUUUAUGCAUGAAUGUGUUGGAAUGUAUGAUGUUUAUGUAUGAAUGUGUUGGAAUGUAUGAAUGUUUAUGUAUGAAUGUGUUGGAAUGUAUGAUGUUUAUGUAUGAAUGUGUUGGAAUGUAUGAUGUUUAUGUAUGAAUGUGUUGGAAUGUAUGAUGUAGAUCCCUUGUAUAGUCUUGUUGACACAUACUUAGAUUUUGUUUUGUAUUGGAAACAUUUGCUUUGAAGCUUCAACACUUGAGUGUUUCAUUGCUCAGAAUGGAAAAGAGUUUAUGGCCAAGUUGGCUAAAUCACCUCUUUAUUGAAUUCAUACCAAAUGGUCUUUGUUACAUAGGAUGCCGAACGGCUGUAGCU
rnacentral:lncRNA from 1 species